AAUCCAUAAUUCCCAGGAACUCUUGAUUUACAACUAUUCUGUCCAAUCUCUUGAAAAUACAUUGUUCAUCAACCCUACCAUUUCCCCAAGUAAAUGGACUCCCUUUAAAUUUUACAUCAACUAAGUUACAAGAAUUGAUACAAAAGGCAAAAUCCUCAUAUUUAUUAGGAUACACUGGCAUUCCCCCAAUAUUUUCCUCUUCAUUCAUGAUAACAUUAAAUUCCCCUCCAGCCAUCCAUGAAACUCUAUUAUGAGACAUAGAAUAAAUGUCAUCCCGUAAGGCCAUGCUUUCCAUCUUAUCAUAUUUAGCAUAGACAAUUGUAGCCACCAUCUGAGAUCCAUCUUGAAAAGUCAACUG
rnacentral:lncRNA from 1 species